AAGUCGUAACAAGGUUUCCGUAGGUGAACCUGCGGAAGGAUCAUUAACGUGUUCUCCGACGGCAAAGGCGCGCCCGGUCACCCCGGUGGUCAGGCGCCUUGAGCUGCUCGAACCUUUUCAAACCCACCGUGCACUUUGGUCGGCAGAGGGGCUUUGCGGCCCCGAGCCGUAUCUCACAUACUCUUAACUGCGGAAAGUCUACGGCGAGCCUUUUGUGCCGCCCUAAUCUUUGACAACUUUCAACAACGGAUCUCUUGGCUCUC
rnacentral:misc_RNA from 1 species